rnacentral:rRNA from 1 species
GAUGAACGCUGGCGGCGUGCCUAAUACAUGCAAGUCGAGCGAACAGACGAGGAGCUUGCUCCUCUGACGUUAGCGGCGGACGGGUGAGUAACACGUGGAUAACCUACCUAUAAGACUGGGAUAACUUCGGGAAACCGGAGCUAAUACCGGAUAAUAUAUUGAACCGCUUGGUUCAAUAGUGAAAGACGGUUUUGCUGUCACUUAUAGAUGGAUCCGCGCCGCAUUAGCUAGUUGGUAAGGUAACGGCUUACCAAGGCGACGAUGCGUAGCCGACCUGAGAGGGUGAUCGGCCACACUGGAACUGAGACACGGUCCAGACUCCUACGGGAGGCAGCAGUAGGGAAUCUUCCGCAAUGGGCGAAAGCCUGACGGAGCAACGCCGCGUGAGUGAUGAAGGUCUUCGGAUCGUAAAACUCUGUUAUUAGGGAAGAACAAAUGUGUAAGUAACUAUGCACGUCUUGACGGUACCUAAUCAGAAAGCCACGGCUAACUACGUG